rnacentral:lncRNA from 1 species
CUCUCUCUCUCUCUCUGUGAAGAACAUCUUCAUUUCUGUGAUUAGGGCUCAAUUUCUUUGAGUGUUUUCAACAUGUAAACUAGUGAAAACUCUUGUAAUAUCAUGGAUCUUGUAGAGGUGUACUAUUGAGUGUUAGUUUGUAAGAAUCUAUGUGAUUCUUGGGAAGAGAAGUUCGGGUUUCUGGAGAUUUUAAGGGCUUAAGUCGUUUCCUUUGUGGAUAUUGUUGAUAUAAGUCUUUGUGACUUUAUCCUUGUAUUUCUCUUGAGACAGUCUUGUAUUCUUGUUGCUAAUUUUGGCUAUUUUAGUGCAAUUGAGCUAAAUCCAUUUAUAAAGGAUGCUCAACAGGGGAUUAGGCAUUAAAUGUGAUUGCCGAACCUCUAGGACUUUGCCGCAAAAUUCCUUAUGUUGAUUUUCUUAUUUUUGCACUUUAUCUUUACUGUUGUGAUUGUGGUUUUGAAUCUUGG